GAUGAACGCUGGCGGCGUGCCUAAUACAUGCAAGUCGAGCGAACAGACGAGGAGCUUGCUCCUCUGACGUUAGCGGCGGACGGGUGAGUAACACGUGGAUAACCUACCUAUAAGACUGGGAUAACUUCGGGAAACCGGAGCUAAUACCGGAUAAUAUAUUGAACCGCAUGGUUCAAUAGUGAAAGACGGUUUUGCUGUCACUUAUAGAUGGAUCCGCGCCGCAUUAGCUAGUUGGUAAGGUAACGGCUUACCAAGGCAACGAUGCGUAGCCGACCUGAGAGGGUGAUCGGCCACACUGGAACUGAGACACGGUCCAGACUCCUACGGGAGGCAGCAGUAGGGAAUCUUCCGCGAUGGGCGAGAGCCUGACGGAGCAACGCCGCGUGAGUGAUGAAGGUCUUCGGAUCGUAAAACUCUGUUAUUAGGGAAGAACAAAUGUGUAAGUAACUAUGAACGUCUUGACGGUACCUAAUCAGAAAGCCACGGCUAACUACGUG
rnacentral:rRNA from 1 species